UCCGGAGUGGCUCAGGGGUUAGAGCGGGUGGCUGUUAACCACUAGGUCGGGGGUUCAAAUCCCUCCUCCGGAGCCA
rnacentral:tRNA from 1 species